GGAUUAGGCAUGCAAGUCGAACGAGAAAGUCCUCUUCGGAGGGCGAGUAAAGUGGCGAACGGGUGAGUAACGCAUGGACAACCUACCUCCGAGAGAGGGAUAACGUCUCGAAAGGGACGCUAAUACCGCAUGAUGUUCACCGGCGCCGGCUGGUGAACCAAAGGAUUGCCUCUGCAUGCAAGCUUUCGCUCGGAGAGGGGUUCAUGUCCUACUAGCUUGUUGGUGAGGUAACGGCUCACCAAGGCAGCGAUGGGUAGCCGGCCUGAGAGGGUGUCCGGCCACACUGGGACUGAGACACUGCCCAGACUCCUACGGGAGGCUGCAGUCGAGAAUCUUCCGCAAUGCGCGCAAGCGUGACGGAGCGACGCCGCGUGGGUGAUGAAGGCCUUCGGGUUGUAAAGCCCUGUUUCCCGAUAUGAACGCCAGACGGUGAAUAGCUGUUCUGGUUGACGUUAACGGGGGAGGAAGCACCGGCUAAAUACGUGUCAGCAGCCGCGGUAAUACGUAUGGUGCAAACGUUGUUCGGAAUCACUGGGCAUAAAGAGCACGUAGGCGGUCUGGUAAGUCUGACUGUGAAAUCCCUCGGCUCAACCGAGGAACUGCAUCGGAUACUGCCGGACUCGAGUACAGUAGGGGAGAGUGGAAUUCCUGGUGGAGCGGUGAAAUGCGUAGAUAUCAGGAGGAACGCCGGUGGCGAAAGCGACUCUCUGGACUGCUACUGACGCUGAGGUGCGAAAGCCAGGGGAGCAAACGGGAUUAGAUACCCCGGUAGUCCUGGCCCUAAACGAUGGGCACUAAGUAGAGGGGUUUU
rnacentral:rRNA from 1 species